rnacentral:rRNA from 1 species
UUGUACCUGGUGGCGAGCGGCGGACGGGUGAGUAAUGCCUAGGAAUCUGCCUGGUAGUGGGGGAUAACGCUCGGAAACGGACGCUAAUACCGCAUACGUCCUACGGGAGAAAGCAGGGGACCUUCGGGCCUUGCGCUAUCAGAUGAGCCUAGGUCGGAUUAGCUAGUUGGUGAGGUAAUGGCUCACCAAGGCGACGAUCCGUAACUGGUCUGAGAGGAUGAUCAGUCACACUGGAACUGAGACACGGUCCAGACUCCUACGGGAGGCAGCAGUGGGGAAUAUUGGACAAUGGGCGAAAGCCUGAUCCAGCCAUGCCGCGUGUGUGAAGAAGGUCUUCGGAUUGUAAAGCACUUUAAGUUGGGAGGAAGGGCAKUUACCUAAUACGUAASUGUUUUGACGUUACCGACAGAAUAAGCACCGGCUAACUCUGUGCCAGCAGCCGCGGUAAUACRGAGGGUGCARGCGUUAAUCGGAAUUACUGGGCGUAAAGCGCGCG